rnacentral:misc_RNA from 1 species
AUGUUUGGGGGAAAGAGGGAUUCACGUCUCUUGAUCUUCUUUUCUUUACGCGCAUAACUUAUUCUUUUUUUUUAUUAUUUACAAACCCUUUACAUAAACUAUUCUAAAUUGUUGGAGAAACUAAAAAU